rnacentral:tRNA from 1 species
GGGCCAUUAGCUCAAUUGGUAGAGCAUCGGACUCUUAAUCCGCAGGUUGGUGGUUCGACUCCACCAUGGCCCA